AUCACCAAUGGCACCUAGCUCUGGGCACUCACUCCAAUCAGUUAGCCCUGCUGUUAACGGGGAGCUUGUCCCUUGUCCUCUACCCACUAUGAACAAGUCGUGUGAGUUAUCUAUUGACCUUAUUGCUCCUACUGUCUCUUCUCCAUGAUUCACUAUUCUUUCAAUGUAUACUAUUGAUCCAUCACUUCCUGUUUUUGUCCUGAAUUCUGUUACAUAUUCCUCGUCUAACUGUUUUUCCCUAUCGCGUUCUGUUUCAACUGUUAGUACACUAUAGUCAUUCCCGCUGUUUGAUUUUCUUCCUUCAAUUGUUGUAUCUCCAGGGAGGAAACGCAUAACUGUUAGGUUAAUGUUCGCGUGUUCACUCAUUCUCCAAGCAUAAGCUAAUGCUUCCCUAUCAUCUGGUCCUCCAAAGAAUAACACUGCAACAUGGUG
rnacentral:lncRNA from 1 species